UUUAUUAUUUUUUGCUAGUUUUUUGUUGUUUAUUUGUUGUUUUUUCAUUAUAAGAGGUAACAAUGGCCAAAGAGGAACCAGUCCCUAUAAAAAUACAUAAUCUGUGCAUAUACAACUCUAGCUAAUAUACAUCAUCUGUAUCAUCUUCAGGCUAAAGUGUUCUCUAUAGAGCCAAUUUCAGCCAAUGUGGUUUCUUCUGAUCCUUUUGCCUUUUGCCUUCUCUCCAUAUUUUUUUUCAGACUGAUUCAGGUGAUCCUGGAUGAAUAAUGAAAAAGAGAGCAAAAUGGAUUUUUUUCAUUAUAGUUUGUUUUCUUUUCAGGCAAAUGAAAAAAAUGAUAAUAAAAGACUAGUGAAAUGGUUAUGAUUCUAGCGAAAAAAGCAAGGAUUCAUCUUUAACAUUUAUCAUCAUAAGGAGCAUCAUCAAAAGGCUUUUUCAUCAUUUAUCCUGACUUAUCAAUGGGUUUAAACCAUUCAACGAUUCAUUGAAUCUGCAUCUUGAUCGUGUGGAAAUUGUCAAAGAGGAACUCUCAUAUAAUGGAUGGUUAAUCUAAUCAAAAUUGAAUCUUAUAUGUAAUUGGCUAACAAAGGUGGAUUGGCUCGAUUUAUUUAACCUACUGUUAAUCAUGUUUGCUGUAUCCAUGUUGAAACAUUGAGUAAACUUUCGAGAUUUCCGAUGGAUACCGUUAUUUGUUGUUCAUACAAUAUACAAAAAUGGAAAGGAGAUUUGUUUGGAUUCAAAUAAUGAUAUUAACAAGAGGAGAGUAAAGAUGAGACCAAAAAGAUAAAUAUGUAUGGAUAUUGCUUAAGGGUAAAGAUAAAGCCAAAAUAUUUCGAUGGUUUCAACAGUCAUCAUGUUCAUCUUCAGCAUAAUCAUAAUCAUAGUUGGAGUUAUCCAGUUAGGAAAUAUACAUAUUAAAAGAGCCAUGUUUGAUGAAUGAUCAAUUUGAAUAAGUUGAACCAACAAUGAUGAGGCCAAAUGCCUGGGGACAUUAUCAAGGAGCAAAUAAAAAAGGAAGAGGAAAGGAUAAAUCAAAAUGCAUAUGACUACUUUACUGGCAAAUUUAGUGAUGAAAAUAUGAUGAUAAUGAUGAUUUGUAAUGAUUAUGUUGAAAAUGCGGUUUCCAUUUGACUUAUCAUUGAAACAACUUCUUUAGCCAAUUUUCAUUUUUCAAUUGAUAACUCAAGGCGAUAAAAUGAUGUUAACUUCAAUGCUGAUUUGUUUCACAUUUCCAGAAAACAAGUUCAAUUCAUCUCAAGCUUCAAAAUCAAGAAGUGAACUAGGAGUGAUUAACAAUCGAGAAAAGUUCAUUGAUAUUAAUAGAACUGUGGAAAUGUAUUCUAGAAUUCAAACUAAACUAAUAAUAGUAUUUUUGUUGAUUUUACUAAUUAUUACCUGGUCUUUCUUUCAAAAUUUGCAAAGUUUAUUUGAUACGAUUCAAAAAAACAGACAAUUCUUGUAAAAAUGUAAAGUCUGUAAACACGUGCAGUAAAUGUAAAUGUAAUGUAAUUUAACAUUAUUUCUAUGUUUUUAAAUGAUUGAAAGUAUUGAUAAUUGAUAAUUUUAUACUUCUCGAUUGAUUGCAUUUAUGAAAAGAUUGUCCAGGAAAGGAAACGCAUUACUUGAACCCGAUUUGACUGAGUAUCAUUGGAUAGAGCUUAUGAUUUAUGAAAAACUGUUUCCAUCAAAAAACCAAUUGACGCCAUUUGUGAUUCAACUUGAACAUCAAUAUAACCAUAAAAACCUUUAAACUGUUUGGUUUAAUUUAAACCAAGCUUCAACUGUAAAUAAGAUAGAACCAUGAUUAGAUGGAUAUUUUAGUUGAUUAUUUGCAAUGAAAAUAUCUUUAUCAAUAAACUAUUAAGAGA